ensembl:lncRNA
UAAUUUGUCAUAUGCAUUUUAUUUGCAUGUUAAUCCUCGUGGAUGCUUUGUAUCAGAACAUUUCUUUAUUAACAAACUGAAGCAUGUUUGCAGAGCAAGGAGUAUUAAAACAUCUUAAAGCUUCAAUGUAUCAAAUACUUCGAAAUUGCAAAAUAUUUUACUCUUUCAGUCCUUUUUGGUCUUUCUUAGUUCUUUCAAUUUUAAUGCAUAAGAACAGUGAUAAUCACAAUGAAGGGCUGCUUUCAAAAACAUUUUUACAGCUUUACUAAAUGUCAGAACUUGGCCUUUCACAAAAUGGUACUCAUAUUCACAAGUUUAUUUCCAGUAAAUUAAUUUUAUCUUUUAUGGUGGACAUCACUUUAAGUCUUACAAAGCACUGUAAUUUCAUUAUAACACUUCUCCUUUCCAACAAAGUUGAUUUCAACUCACCUUUAUUUACUGACUGGUCUUGUCUUUGCUUGUUGUGUAUUUGUUUUACAGAAAGUGCUGCUGGCAUUUACUGUGACCUCUUAACUAUUCCAUGCACCAGUUAGUAGGUUGAGUUGUAUUACUAAUUUCAGGUUGUAACUUGAUUGAAGUGGUACAAGUUAAAAAUAGACCUUUUUGUCUAGGGGACAAGACCUGAAAACGAUGAAGUAAAAUGCCUUGAACACUUAUUAGAAUGCUGGAUUAAAAUUAAUUCUGAGAUUCAUGAAUAAAGCAACUGUACCUAAUAACUCUCUCUUAAGAGACAAUAACUAUACAAGUAAAUCUCUGAAGGUUCUUUGAAAUUGUUGCCCACAGUCAUUUGCAGUCAAUACUUCUGUGAGGUCUCAGCAGAGUUCUGUCCUACUUAAGAGAGAGGUCCAAGCUCUUUGAGGCAGGAUGACUUCCAACUUAUGCCCUUAGGAAUCUACAUUUGAUUUUGUUGGAAGUAUGCUAUGGGAACAAGAGCCAAAGCAGUUGUGACACACAUUCAUUAGUAAAGUCUUUUAUAACCCUUUUCUUAAGUCAUCUCUGCAUUUCCAAAUGUGUCGCUGCUGUGAGCAACUUUAUGAGAACAAAUUCAAAGCCAGCAACCAAUGGCUUAGACAACUUCAGCUGAGGUUCAGCCUCACUAAUUUCAGAACCCCCCAUUUACCAACUGGUCAGUUUGACUUCAGUGUUUUCUAAACACAGCCUUAGAGAGCUUGAAGGAGCAGGAGAGGAAAAGGAGUUGUUUCAACUUAAAAUAUUUUCAAUUAUCAUUAAGAAUUUGUCAGAACAAUUCAGAUACAUCCUGUUUUCUCCUGAUUUAGUUGUCUUUUUUUUUUUUUCCCCCAAAAGAACAAUUUGAAGUCAACUCUAUUUAAGUAUCCUCAAGCCUGCAUAUGAAAUGCUCCUUGCUAGGCCUCCUUUGUAGCUUCCAUAUCUCUUCAUUGCAGCAAAGUGGUAUAUAAGCUAGCAAAGCUGGAUGCUUGAAGCCAUGGUUAUGUGGAGUUCCACAUGUGACCAUGUUGCUUGGGAGGCAAAAUACAACCUACUUGGCAUUAAAGUGCUGACCUCCCUGUGCCACUUUAUCCUGUUGUAGGCACUAGAGCUGUCUGUUUCAAACUCGGCUCAUGAUUGUCUGCAAUCCAUUGCUGCCACAUUGCAGUGCCUGUAAAAUAAUUGAAAGCUACUGCUCUUGUUCUUCACUCUGCAGAACAAAACUCCAAAAGAGUGCAAAGUUCUGUUGUGCAACUGAAGAAGUGGCUAAAUGAUUAUGUAGCAUAGGUGUAAAAAUCACUGUUCUAUUUGUUAUUGUAUCUAUCUCUCAUACACUGAAACUAUUGAGAUAUUUCCAUGGUUGGGAUGUGACCAAGAGUUCCUUUUACCCUUACAGAGGCAAGAGAUGCACACAGCUUCACUUCUGGUAUCCUUGCUUGCUCAUCUGGCCAUUGUCAAGGCAGCUGUCAUCCGGGAGCCCUGGAGCUGCAAUGCAGAAGUAAGUAUCACUACCUUCAAUUUUACAGAUCAGAAAACUGAAACAGAAAUGUAAAAUGAAUCACUUCAGAUCUACUUUUCUUGUGGUGCCAUCAUUUAUAAUGUUCAGCUCUGAUCCGCACAAGUUUAUCUAUUUGACCCUAGUGCUUUUCUGCCCUUUUGGGGGGCAUUUCUUUGAUCAUUGUCAGCGUAUAUCCUCUGACAGAGCCCUGUUAGAUUUGCACAGUGGGGAGAUAAAACAAUGAGUGUGUAAGUACAGACAUGUAGCUCAUCACAAUGACAUGGCAGUAAUGCACUGAGUUCAGCUCACCCUGGAAGAUGGUCUGAUCCUUGAUAGAUUUAUCACAGCCAAAGACGUGAUUACCAAUCCCACUGCAGAUUUCUUCUAAGUUACUACUUUUCUUAAAGGCACAACGUGUCCCAAUACUUUCUGUUAGAAUUGUGAAUACUUUUGUUUCUUCUUGAAGACCCAAUGGAUUUUUUUCCAUAAACAUUUCUGAAGCCCUUUGAUUCUGGGAGGCCAUUCCAGCACAUAUAAUUUUCUCAAAAUCUUAAUCACUUUACAAAAGCAGUUUUUCUACAUCUCUGUGCCCAGAGACACUGCUGAUGCCCCAUCCCUGCAGGAGGGUUGGAACUAGGUGAUCUUCAAGCUCUCUUCCAACCCAAGCCAUUCUGUGUUUCUGCGAUAUUGUGCAGUUGCAAAUAUUCCUGUUGAACGCUUAAUUCUCUGUAGUAUUCCAACUUAGAUUUCAUCAAAGCGAGUAGAAAAAUUGAAGUUAAGUUCCUGUUACACAUAAAAGUGAAGAACAUAAGGGUUUUAAAAAAGAACAUAUGGAUACAAAUGUACAUAUUUAAACAAACAUGUUCCAAUCAGCUCAGAUUUUUCUGUUCUUUCUCCUGUGAUCAAAAUGUGAUAAGACACGGUGGAUACUGAAGUCCCUACAGGGCCAGAUCUGAGUCUUGCAAAAGAUGUUAGGAAAAUUUCCAGUGAUUUUUCUGAGUCUCAGACCAGAUCUUUGUUGUUGCGAAAACAUCAGUGAACAACAAUUCAUCUGUGUGCAAAACUCCUGUAUGUAGUUCCAGAUGCCAAAAAUUCUCUAUGCAAUUUCAAUUCUAUUUUGAAUGUAUACUUCUUCCGCUAAAUGACUUAUUAUAACCUAUGCAAAAUAACCUUAACAAAAUACAAGAAAUGUACAGCCAGGACAGUGAAUCUGUAGAGGUGAGAACAUGAACAGAGAAUUUGCCAUGGAAAUGAACAUUGAUUUUUAUGCUUUCUAUUUUUUUUCUGAUGCAGUUCUCAGAGAAUAAAUAGGAGACUCAGUUUUAAAGGGAACGGUGCUAGUCAGCUUAUACACCGCUUUCUGAGAUCCUUCUCUCAAUGUACAGGGAAAUAACUCAGUUACUAAGUACCUUAGUGUCUCCAGAGUUACAGCACCUAUGUGAGAUGAGAAUCUGUUCCUGCAGUAUGUCUUUAAUAUCAAACAUUCAGGCAAUUCAAGAUUUUAGCACUGGAAUAUCCAAAUCUCAUAAAGAUGAGUAAUGCUAUGAUUGCAGAUGUCUUCUGUGGUGUUCAUGUGCUGCUUGUUUGUGGAGAAGGAUCAUUUUUAUACCUUAAGAAAGAAUAGCCAUCUCCCUGAGGUACCUUCUAAUGAUGCCACAAGCGCAUUGCAAUACAUAGUUAAUGGCAGCUUUGUAUUGAUAAUGGACUUCUAUGAAUCAUGAGGAGCAUUAAAAAGAAAACACUUUCUUAUCUGUAUGUUCAGAUGCUUUCUAAUUGCUCACGUGUAUUUCAAAUAACUUUGCAAUUCCUUGUAUUGCAUUAUUCAGAUUUCCUAGUGUCUCACAGAAAAAUAAUUGAAACGCAACCAAAAGAUUUGCACACCAUUAUGGGGAAUACUUUGUUCUUCACAUUCUGUAUCUUGUUAAUAAAGGAUAAGAACGUGCACAUGUACAUUGCCCUCAAUUUUAUUUUCUACUUUCAAAUGUAGCUAUUUUUCAUCUGUAAUAGGUUGUAGAUGUACCAACUUCUCAAUAACAGUAGAACUGAGGGGAAAAACAUAGAGCAUUAAAACAACAAGAAAAAAUAUUGAGUAUUUUCUGGUGAAGCGGAUUGUGUUAGAAACUAUCAUUCAAAUUCCAGUGAGAGCUGAGGACUUCCCAGAUCUCACAUUCUCAACACAGACUGUAGGGCUCACUGUUUCCUGUACUGCACAGUCCUGGGGAUGUUCUACAGCUACUGACAGCUAUAUUUGAAGUGCUGGAAGAUUUAAAGGAAAAUACCUUUAUAAGAACACUUGUAUUGUUCAUCUUAAUAUUUAAGCUAAAAUGUCCCUUGUUUUCUUGUGGGGAAAAAGAACAUGAAUGGAAAGAAAAGAGCAUGUGAUAGGUGCCAUCUGUUCUCUCUUUCUCUCCCCCUUGCUCUCCCCUCUCCCAUAUUUUUCCUCUAAAAAAAAAAUAUAUAUAUAUAUAUAUAUUUAUAUAUAUAUAUAUAUAAAUUGAAAUUGGUAACUGUGGUUACCUGCCAGGCCUCUUUCAGGGAACAAAGUGAGACAGAAGGGUAGCAGGACUGUGGGUUGCCUGAGGGCCUAGGGAUGAAAUCUCACUUCUGUGCUAGAUGGUCACAACUCUUGGCUAUUCAGUCAUGAGACAGCAAAGGCUUUCAAGGAUCAACAACAAAUUUAUGGUAAAGCAAAAGCAAGAAAAGAUAUGAGGAGUUUCCUGCAAGAGGAUAUUUCCAACAUGAGCUUGUCCAUCCACUGCUGCUGGAAAAGACAAAUUUGCAAAAUUUCAGGCUCUCAAUAGGUCAUCCAGUCUUCCUCCUACAAACAGAAUAUCUGCUCUGGUCCUGACAGUUGUUUGUCUAGUCAGUACUCAAAGAUCACCAUUGAUGGAGAUCAUUCUGCCUCCAGGCAAUCUGUAUUCUAUAUCUCUUUUCCUGAGAGAUUUUUCUUUGUAUGUGUCUUGAAUAUUCUGUGUAGCUGCUACUUGACCUAUUCACUGAGGACAUGGAAAAUAUUUUUUCUUUUUUCAUAAGGAGUUUGCAAGUCAACACACCUGAUGGUUUUUUUUGUUGUUGUUUUUUUGUAUCUUGCAUUUUUCAAUGUGUGAUGUGUACCAGUAAGAGCAAUAAUGGGAAUUCAGAUCUGAAAACAGUGCCUGACUCUACUGUACCAUCAAUUGUCAGCUGUGGAUGCUAAAAGACCUAAAAGUUUGAAGUUCAGACUGGAGUUCAGAUGGUGUAUUUUGGCUGGGGUCCAGCAUUACUAGAAAUCCAUCUUGACGUAGAGAGAGCAGCCGUAACAAGCUGGGCUGAUGGGCUGCCAGCCAGGCUCUUCUAAAGUAGUGGAAGAAACCUGUUUCAUGAGUUGGGUAUAAACUAUUUAACAGAGCCAGAGACAAAAUGCAUCCCAACAUCAAUGUCCAGGAUUACCAGCUGCUCACACAGCUUGUCUGGGGGCAUCCAGAAUGCCAGGAAAUGCCUGGUAGCUGUCGUGUAUGUGUGUGUGUGUGUGUAUAUAUAUAUAUAUAUUCUGUGAGGCACAAAGAAAUUGCAUCAAGGACUUUCAAACUACAAAACAUCAGAAAAUGCUACGAAAUACUUUUGGAAGUCAAAAACACUUUGAGGAGUAAUCUCGGCCUCAUAGGACAGCAUCCAUGAUGCUGGACACUUGGUUCCCAUUCCAGUUUUUGCCACUCAAGUAUGGAUGCAAAAUACAGAGGCAUAUUGUCUGCUGUCAUAACUCAUCUGCGAAGCAGAUGUUUCUUUUGGGGGAAUUAUUCAUGCUAAAGAUCACACUUCAAAGUAAACAAUAAUUGUCAUUUGUUGCCUGUUAAAAAAAGAAAAAAAUGAAAGCUGGAAAUCAAACUAAUGAGUACAUUUCCUCAAGGGAACAGACAGAACUGGGAAUAUGAUCAUUUUGCAAAGCUUCUGAUAAAUACAUAGGUUGCUCUGAAAGAAAUGCUGCUUUAUUUCUGUGGCAACUACACUGGAUGCAAAGAACACGAUAACACUGAUAGAGCACAUUUUCAGCUACAAAACACUUUUUCAACAUAGUCACCACCAUUAGCUGUGUAUUUUUGCCAACUAUGAAGAGGACUCUGCGUGCUGUGCACAAAAAAUUCUGCACAAGCAGAUGCGACCCACUGUUUCACAGCUGUUACGGUGGCAUCACUGCUAGGAAAAUGUUGCCUACGCGGUCCGUCUGAACAGAUGGAAGUUGGAAGGCACCAAUUCCAACUGUAUGGUGGAUGUGGUGGGACAGUCCAGCCAAGAUUGACAAUGUGUUCCAUGGUCUUCAAACUGGUACAGGGCCUGGCGUUACUGGAUUGUGAGAGAAAUGUUGUCGUCUUCUCUGGCCUGACUCUAUUAGUUUGAGCCCCCAGCUCAGUGAGCAUUGUGAUGUAGCAGUCAGGAUCUGCACUCUACCUUAGCUUUGUGAACCCAGUUCUGGAUAUAAUGUCUCAAUUUACACAGGCCAGGAAGUCUGCAAAGAGAGUAAGCUACAGUAGAUUUUCUGAUGAGCCACUGCUUUACAGCCUCCUGGUUAAGACUUCAUUUCAGGAAGCUAAUAUGACUUUAUAAAAACCAAAAGUAGCUGCAUUUGAACUUACUAUAUGGUUUAUCCCACAGGACAGUUCUCAACUACCUUGAGUCAAGUACAGGUUGAAUGGUGGCCUCUAAGAGUUCAUGAAUAACAUGGGAAAUCAGACUUGUCAUAUGGUUCUGGGACUCAGACACUGUGUCUCUACUAAUAAGUUAAAUGGUGCCAAGGAACGUUCCCAGGAGCUGGACCCAGGCUGUCUGUCUGUGUAGCUGCACUGCCAGAGCGAUCCUUUUGCCAUAGAGAUGCAGACCUCUAUUUUGAUAUUUGAUAUUUUGGAUUUGCUGAAUGACCACAGCCAACAAAAUUAUUUCAUCAGCUAGUUUCUGACCUUUAAUAUCUGACCAUAUAUUUUAAAGUGUGAGAGAUACCUAUUUUACAUUUACUCCAGCUCCAUAAGGAAUGCUGUACGGACAGGAAUUCAGCAGAAAAUUUCCACUUAUUUACCAUUUACUGUCACUGAAAUUCAAGAAGUUAUUUCAAAAAAUGAGGAAAAAAUACUGUGAUUUCUACUAUUUGUUUCUUCUUGGAAGUUCCAUGGAUCAUUUAUCAAUGAACAAAAGGCUAAUUAAAAGGCUAGACCUAGUGCAAUUACUUUGAUGAACUUUGAGAGUGGUUGUUUAAUGCCAUAGCCUUCAUUAUGUUAUGCUAAAUAUGUUCUCUGCAAGUUUGCAUCCCAAAGAUGAUGCUGUUUUUGUUGGACUAGCUUGAGGAAAAAUGCUGUAUGUUUGAGCUCUUGGGAUGAGUGUCUUACUUGGAAGGUAGGAAGAAAAUGUUGAUGUUCUCUGGAUUUGUGUGUGUUAAAGCUGACAAUUCAAGACAUGUCUGUGGUAGUUUUAUUCCUUAGCUCCUAACAGAAACCUGUCUCCCUGAGCUGAUUCCAGAUUUAUAAGCACAGUGUGUACAUUGUUACAGCACAGAGCGCAGGAUAAUUAAACAGCUGCUUAGCACUGAGCUCCUUCAUUCUUCAAUAAGCAGAUGUUUUGUCUUGUUGCUGAUUUCAAACAACCCACGAUAACAUACUAUAUGCAUAGCAUUACUCAUAUUUUUAAUAUUUUGGUGCGUUCCUAUCCAAAGAUCAAAGCUCCAUGCCCCAUUACAUGAGGUUCUGCACAGGCCGUUAGCACAGAAGAGAUCUUAAGUGAGUGCCAAUCAGUGCGUCUCCACUGAAUCCAGGGGAGCAACAGCAGUUCGCGCUGGCUGACAUUUCCCUUGCAGAUGUCAGACGAGAUGCCAUGAUUUACAUACCAAUGGCGGUGAGUGGGAGGAUGAAGUAACAAGAGGAGCAGAAAUGUGCAGGGAUGCAGAAGUCGGAGCUUGCCAUUUGCCUUUCUCCUGCAGCUGAACAAUGGCAAUCUGAGUUAUUCAUUCCCAUCCACCUCUUAACAACAGGAUUCGCUUCUGAUGAUAUCUUGUGGCCUUUUGAGUAUGUUAGCAGAGGAACUAGAUUCUUUUCUGUAUUUGCCUUCUGUGUUAUCAGACACAAUAAGCAAUUCCCAAAAGGCAGAUGAGGUGAAUAAAGCAAAGUAUCAGGUUAAAUGAUGUAUAUUCCUUAUCCAUUUAGGAAGGUGUUUAUGCAUCGUCGUUUUAUGCUUUGUAUUUGCUGGAUUUAUGAGUGGCAUUUGUGUGCAGAGCCAUGAAAGCAGAUGGAGCCCCAAAGGAGGAGCCCUUCUAUCCCACCCUGUUUGUGGUCUCCCUGUCUGCUGCUGAAGCUGCUUCCUGGGGCAGUGCGUUCAGCAGCUGCUAAGAGCGUGUAAAUAGAAGGAGAAAUGUUAUAAAUGUCAGGAAGUGGCAGCCAGACUGUUCCAAGGUUGCGUACUGCGUGCUUGUGAAGCAAGAUGGCCUGACUCCAUUAUCAGUGUUGUCCAUCAAACGCUGAUUUCCAAAGGUCUGUAUCUUCCACUUACUGAUAUUUCCAUUUGUGUACUUCACUGGGAAGAGUUUCAGACAAUGUUGAUAAUUUUGGACUUCCUGAUCCUUAGGAGGAAUAAAUUUGCCCUGCUAGGGAACGCACUGUUCCUAUCCCUAACUGAGUUAUACGCAUUCGUACGUAAUCUCAGUAUAACUAUAAUGGGAAUACAAUUUAUACUUUAAUUUAUGCUUGUUCUCUGGUUGGGAAAAUGCCCAUGAACUGUGAGGAAGCAGAUCUGCUUGUUCUAUAGAUAAACUGUUGUUGUAUGUGGUUCACAUCCUGCAUUUUUAUGUAUCGUUCCAAUUCCUCAGCUGUUUCCAAUUCAUGUACCUUUCUGAAAGUGAAUGAAGCAGCUGUGCCAAAUUCAGAGCCUGGCUGAGUCCAGCUUCAUGUCUGGAGGAGCUGAAUUUCCCAAGGCUGGUGCUUCACCAUUAACUGAUGCAGAAGAAAUUAGAAUUCCUCUUUCCCUUUCACAUAAUGGCAGAAUUCUGAAAUUAUUGUGUAACAUGCCCUUCCUCCCAUUACACGGUCUUCAUUCUGUUCACCAUUAUUUUUAAUAGACCAAUUUUCUCUCUUGCUUUUCAUCCACCGAGUCUUUACUAUUAUUAUCAUCAAAGUGUCUGUGGGCUGCCAGCAUUUGAUAUUUCAUUUCACUGAUUUAAUUAUGUCUGCAGCCUGUUCUGGGGCUGUUUAUUUUUAUAGAUCUCCGAAUCCUCUUCUUUAUCAAAUUGUUUACAUCUGAAUCCAUUUGUUCACUGUUUAUAUGUCACUUUGCAAUUGUAUCCUUUUGUACUUUGCAUUUGUUCCUGAGGGGUGUUUUAGUUUGAUCAAAUUUUACAACUUUGCAGGCAGACAACUAAAAGGAGAUCUUCCUAUCUAGGGGUGAAAGGCAGCUCUGGACACAGCUAACACCAUCUGCUUUUUCACUUUAUGCUUCCUGUGGGCAUAUGUGAGCAUGGAGCCACGUCUGUUACCAGCUAUUGGGAACUGACAGCUCAUGGGAAGCUGGCAGAGUGUUAGAUUAAAGGAAGAGAUGUUUUACACACCUUGCUCUUCCAUGUGCAGUUUACAUAGGGUAUAAAUACAUAGGUAAUGUAGGGUAUAUGUAAACAGGGUGUUUACUGAGCUUAGUUUAGUUUCCAAAGAAUGGAGGUUCUUUGGCUCUGGGCAGCCUGGUCUAGAGGCUGGCAACCCUGCCUGUGGCAGGGGGGUUGAAUAUAGAUGAUCUUUGAGGUCUUUUUCAACUUUUCAACCCAGGCCAUUCUAUGAGUCUGUGACGCUUUACUGCAGAGGGUUGCAGAAGAGGAUGACAGCUUUGAAUUUUGCUGACUGACCUCCUGUCACUGCAACUACUUUAGUAGUGGUGAUGCACGUAUGCGUGCACGUGCUGUAGUUCUGUUGAGUUUCUUGCUUCUACUAUAAUUAAGAGUCCAUAAAUAAGUGCUUCUAAUGCACUUGACUAGAGAAAGUAAUUGCUAUUUAAAUGGAUAAUUUAUUGUGUGCUAAUUAAAAGCCCAAUAGGUGAGAACAUUUUAAUGAAAUGUAACUUAACUCAAUAAGGAGGUUUUUAAUAAUCAUUAGUUGCCUGAAAUAUACCUGAUGCAGCAGUUCUCUAAUGACAAGCUCUAAUUGAUGUUUUUAACAUGUAUUUAUUGUGGAUAAAUUGCUAUUUUGUUGUAUAUCUCUCUUUCCCUGUCUUUCAAAUGCACAGCUUCCCAGCUGGAGGCCCCAUUGUGCCUUAUUACAGUCUAUUCUUCCCUGCUUUGGCAACCCCUUUUGCUGGUCAACUCAUCUCAGUUACACUCGCAUGAAGCAGGAUGUGAGCAAACAGAUGUGGGGAGCUGCCAGUUUCUACCAAAGAAAAGGUGCUAGCUUUUAAUUUCAGUUGACUAUUAGAACGUACAGUAGAGAUCUGCCUUCUUUCCCUGUUUGACUUACAGUAUGAGGCAAAGAAACCCUCGAAGUGUCCAGGGUUCCAAGUGCUCAUCUUAGAGCAGAAUGAUUAUGCAAAAAUGGUAAACCUCAGUGUCUCUAGGUAAUAAAUUUCACUUUCAAAGAAGGAAGCUUAAGAACAGGCUGGAAAGUGAAUGUGCCUCACACAAUGGAGCAGCGUGCCAGCUUUGUUUGAAUUGAGCAACCUGGAAGAAUCUGAGCUGGGAACAAGUAGCAUCUGAUUUAAGGACUGAGAGAGUAGAUGGCUGAUUUUCUUCGCAAAAAUAGCAUGAGAAAGCUGUACUGACCUUUCCAGGAUGAGAGGUAAUGGCUUAAAUUGCCCCAAGGGAGGUUCAGGUCAGAUAUCAGGAAGAAUUUCUUCUCAGAGCAAUGAGGCAUUGGCACAGGCUGCCCAGGGAAGUGAUGGAGUCACUGUCCCUGGAGGUGUUCAGGAGAAGCAUAGAUGUGGCACUGAGGGACCUGGUUUAGUGGACACGGGGGGGAAUGGGUUCGUGGUUGGACUGGGUGAUCUUAGUAGUCUUCUCCAGCCUUUAUGAUUCCAUAAUUUCACUGUGCUUUUCUGGUGUCUUUUUCCAGCACUGGGCAAUGACUGUUCUUAUGUUUCUGAGAAUUUAAAGAAUGGUCUUCUGAGACUGAAAUGCACAGGACGUAGAGCGGAGGCUGUUAGUAGCUCUGGUGGGAUGGGGUAACCCUUAAAAAGUCACUGCACUUUCCUGGGCCUCCUUUUCCCCCACUGUUAAAUGGAGAUAACUACAUGUUUCCUUCAUGAAGCCAUUUGGUAUGUCUUGUUGAAAAAUCUAUAUAUAAGUGUUCAUCAUUUUUGUCACUCAGGCACUGAUAUAGGAAUUUCUGGAGCACUCCUACAUGUUGAGAAUCACACUGAUACUGUGGAUGAGAAUAUUAAAUUCUGGUGCUGAACCUGGCUAAUUUGAAAAUGACGUAUUUUUCUAGAGUGAUGCCUCAGAUGCAUCUUAUAUAAGAAAAUGAAUUACAUUUAUAGCUAGAAAGGACUGCAGGAUUUUAUGAUCAUCUCAGCACUCCUGUAUUUAGUAAAUUAUCUUGUGUUUGAUUAUGACAGGGUACCUCUUGGCUUAUGUCAAAGUUCUUGUUUCCUGGAGUUCUCCCUGUUUCCUGGAAACUAAACUCUGGUGGAAAGCAUUUGUUACUUUGGUUGUUUUUUUUUCUUUUUCUUUUUUUGGUCUGAUUUGUUUGUUUGGGUUUUUUUUUUUUUUUUUUUGUCUUUUAAGUCUAAACAACCCAUUGGUCCUACAGCUCUUUGGUUCCUGCCACUGAAAGGAGAUACCCAUAGAUUAAAUAGUUAAAUAUGAAACCCCCUUGGGGUUUGAUCUGAUGAAGAUGAUGCUUAUUUAGAGAAGGAGCAAAUACUUUAACAAGUACUAUCCUGAUGAACUAUCUAACUUGACUUCUGAGAAGUAACUAUUAAAUGGAGAGAAGAAACCAUGAAAUGUAAGAGCGAGUUUGAAUGCUGGUAUCAUAAUCUGAUCGUAGUCAUGCAUCAUAAUUAAAUGUUAAUUUAAUUGUGGGCUUCGGAUGUCAUGUUUGGAAUUCUCAGUUUCAAUCCAGUUUUUAUUAAACAAUGAAGAACCUUCUGAAGGAUUCAGAAUAACAGUUCAACAAAUCAAGUCAACAAACAGGGAUCCACUUUAAGGUAAGAAAGAGAAAAUAGUGGGCAAAAGCUGAUAGAGUGCACUGGAUGCAGGCAGAAUAGUCAGAGGAAAACCAAUAGGGCAUGAUUUGGAGAGACAGUAUCUUUCACACAACCAAUAGCAUUUGGAGAAAAUGAACAAGCUUUCAAGCACUUAAAUGCUUCCGCAGGUCUGGCAAAGAAAACAAAAAACUUGAAGCUUUGUCCGUCCUGUAAAGAAAUUAGCGUUUAACUUAAGAUAAUCACCUGGACAAUUAGGGAGACAAAAAGGUGAACUCCUUAGCCAUAACGGAGCAUCUGGGGAUACAAACAAAAAGUCAAGAGUUAAUGUGCCCCUGCAAGCCAGAGAGAGAGGGAGUGGGAGCUUAGAAAGAGCUCUUGGGAAAGGUGGGUACCACCAAACCGUUGCCUCUGCUGGCUCCACGGGUUUUAGUGCCUGGGAGAACUCUGAAUUUAAUGUCCCAAAUAUUUGAGUAGUGUCCUCUGGGGCAACUGGUACAUUAGGACUCAGAAAAUUAAUUGCCAGACUUGCACCUAAUUGUACAACAAAGCAGUAAACCAAUUCUGGAAAACCACAGUGAGGACUAAUUCAGAAGUGUCUUAACACAGAAUACGAAGAACGUUCUUUCCUCCUCUCAGCUCCAGAUUUCUACCCCAAAUGUUAAAGAAGAAACCUUAAACUUGUCUGAAUUACAAGCAAAACUGUCAGCCUCCCUCAAAAUGGGGAAAGAAAGUACUUCUGAAAUGCUUAUGCAUUAUAUAACAUGUACCCAUAUAUCAUUUAUACGGACAUUAGCAACUUGUGUUAUUUCCUCAUUUUGGAGGUGAUGCAUUAAAAGUGAAAAUGCCACUACUGCCAUUUUCUUCUUACAUAAAGCAGCUUUGUGUCUACAGUGCCUGUGUGCAGAUCUUCUCCAUGAUUUUCAAAAAGCUGAUUGAAGGCCAUUGCAGUAGCUUGGGUAGGGUGGCCAAACAGAUGAAGAUGGCAUAUAAAGAGCCUGGUUGGCAGCAAUGCCAAUUUCAUGCACAUGCCCUGCCUUGAUUAAAGUAGAGAUGUUUGCAUAUGUCUUGUGUCCAAAGGCAUUUUUGAUGCACAUCUCCUGCUGAGCCAGCAAAGCUCCUCUCACGCCUAUUGCUUUUGCAUAGCAGAUACACAUUAAUGGAAGCAGUCAGAGCAUGCAUCUACCUGGUUCAUAAUUUGCACAUCUCUGGAAAUAUCCUUAAAAUGCAGACGAAGUUUAAAAAGAAAUAGUAGAGAGUUGCAAAAAAUCCAGAUUAACAGUUGAAAGUUGAAAUAGUUUAUCCUCUUACACAGGGGUAUUAAUUACAAAGCGUAUCUUCAGUCUCAUUUGCAGAGUUUCCCUUUCGCUAUCUGGAACCUGAAGCAGUAGAUUAAUGAGAGAGGCUGGGAAGGUGCCACCUUGUAAGGAGCUGCAUGGAAACGAACCACUUAAAAGGCACAAACAAGUUUUAUUGCAACUGUCAAACCUAGGAACCAUAGAGGACAAAACACCACUCCUAUUCACAAUGAAGGAGCCACCUCCGAUAGCAAGGCUUUGCCACCACCGCGGGACACCGAGUGCCGUGAGCGGUGCUGAACUGAGCAAUGAGGAGGAGAUGGCUGCACACAUAGCAUGGAAGCUUUGACUUUAUGGUGUCUCCAACUCAGAAAAGCCUGCUUGUGGACCCAAAGCCCAGAGGAGAUACUUGCUAUAACUGCCUAUAAAAGGAGAAUGUGGAUUGAUGCAAACUCCACUGACAUGGAUGGGAUUCUUUCUUUGUGAUUCAGUGAGCUUUGGAUCAGUUCUGGAGAAGGAAAUUGAACAGUUAUCAAGCAAAUCUAGUCUUACAUAAACAAAAAUGCCUCCUACAAAAUCCAGAGGGCAUGCUGUCAUCCAGCACAAGUCUCACCUAUCAAAAAGGAAAAACGUACUGAACUGAGGGAUCCAGCAUGGAACGAGAUGACAGGUGAGGCACAGCAACACAAAUAGGCAGCAGUGAAUUGGACAAAUCUGCCACCUGCAAGCAGAGAGCAUGAGCUCAGCUAGUGCAAGAAUCUGGUGGCUCUGUGCUGCCCUGCUGGAAGGUCUCCUGACGCCUCCGGACUCCUGCUUCCCUGUAACCACUCCAGUCUCUUCCUGUCACAAUGAAAUCAUUCCUGCUGCAGUGAAGGGAUUAAUUAGGUCUACCAGUACUUCACUACCCUCAAUCCUAACUGAAAAUCAGACAGCUUUUCCUGUUUCGCACGUCUGUGCUCAGAGAUGUGACUGACCUAACGCUUGGCACCUUAGAAAAAUCAUGCCCCAGUGUGGAUCAAGACUCAGGAAACAAAUCCUCUCCAUAACUGCGCAGAGCAGGGCAUAAGCUAAUGCCAGAAUGAUGUGAUGCUUGACGCUUUGACCUUGCUUUCUGUGCAAGACUCUCCAAGCUUCAUACCACUGGGAGCGCAUCAUUUGUGACGAGCAAAAAAGUCAGAGCAACUGGUUCUUAAAAGAUUUGUCAUAGUUUUGCUUUAAAAAUAAUUCAUCUCAUAGCUGAAUUCAGUAUUUUGGGUCAGUUAUAAUUGAAUCUGCUCAGACAGAGAAGUUAUAUGAGACUAAUUACCUACUGUCUCUACUCGAAGUAAAUAUUAAAGGCAAGAAAAAUAAACAUGGGCUGAAGUGUGAUAUGCAAAUCACAUUGAUAACUAUCAGGUUAAGACCAUGAAUUUAUAUUCUUUUAAUCAUUAUGAGGUUUAGAUGGUAUCUCCAGCAAAGAAAAGUCAGUAUGAUGGUAUAUGACUGUCUAUGAUUUGGUCCCUAAUUGCAAACAACAAAAAUACAUUAACCUGCUUGUAUCCUGUGUCUCAUUAUUGUCAUAAAAAUGAUAAGAAAAUUCCUUCUUUGUGAAAUCCAAGCUGCUUUACUCUUUUCAAGGACUGCUUUUGUAAGAAAGGAGAGUAAGGCUUAGGUCACUUAUACUGAAUAUAAGGUAGAGGGAGAUGUUUCAGAAGCAGAGCACUUUAAACAUCUUUAUUCCUACCAAAGUUAAUAAAGUGAAGCCAAUUCUGAGCACUUCUUCAAGCUGCAAUGGAUUUGCUAUUAGUUUUCCUGCAUGAAAAUAUGAUGAAGAACAUAAUUGGAGAAAAGAUAGUUCGAGAAAUAACUUCACAAUGGCAUUACUCUCAAAGAAAAGACAAAAUCAAAAUAUCCUGGGUCUGGUUAAGGCAGGCAAGGACUUAAAAUGAGACUGGGCAUGAAAGGGAUGGAGAAAAGAAUGGGGUGUAAGUUAUGACAUUUUCACCUUUUCAUAUGCAAAUUCUUGAUGAAAAAUCCUUAGAAAAAGAAGCUAGAGUAACUUUCAAAGAUCAGAACUACCUUCUUUUCCUUUUCUCCUUUUUCCUUUUCCUUCCUUUUUUUAACUUUUUUUUUUUUUUUUAAACUUUUCUUCUCUGUUCCUGCAGGGAAGUGUUUAUAGGGACACAUGAGAUCCUGACAGACAUUUCCACUGACCCUCUUACAUGAGAUUUGGCUCAACCGCUCUCCUCUAAGACGGUCUGUGAUUUUGGCAGCCCGAGGCCCAGGGUCCCUUCCAGGGCUGCUGGGCCUGCAGCCACCAUACUGACAUUGGCCCCUUGUAACUGGGAACAGUUAGUGGGAGCUCCUAAAAAUACACAGAAGCAAACAAGGAGCUAAUGCUGCUGCUUUGUGCUCAGAGAAGAUGCAUUAUUCAUACAGUACAUAGACAAAAUAGAGAGAAGAUGCCUGGCAAAGCCCCCAGAAUGGCUUAGUUACCCUCGAGUAAAAACUUCUAUUUGUUGAGUAGACUCCAUAAAUAUAGCAGGACUCCUGAAAUGUCCAGAUGUUUCUGAGCAGAUGAAGAAUGUUCUCUUUCUGAAAGCUUACUGAAUUUUUUAUUAUCUCAUGCACUGUUUGCGUGGGCAGGUCUUCUGAGUGAGUCAGAGCAAACAGCAAUCACUGCUGCAGGUAUCCAGCGAGAGAGGACAAUUCCUUAACCUGGGAGCUCCUAAAGAGGUCCUAACGUGCAGAGUGCUGAUACAUACACAGAAAAUAAUCACUGAAUCAAUGAGCUAAACUUCUCUGAGGGACCUUAACGUAGCCGUGCUGUAAAGAAAGGAUUACUUAGCAUUGAUAGCCAUGCCCUCAGAUAUAGCCGUGGUGGUGUGCUCUCAGGCACACAGACCUCGCUCUUCCAUGGGAGACACAAUGCCAUAGGAAGAUUCUGGAGUUAAGGCAGAUAUUGAGUUAGCCCUCUCUAUUGAAUUGGAGUUUUUGCAGAUGGGAAAUAGUUUCUUCUCCAUGGUAAUUCUUUAGUAAUGCCGCUCCACUUGGACCAAUUUAAACUGGAAGAAAAAGGUCUGCCUGUGAUAUCUCUGCCUCAGUAGGACAGCAUGACCAGAUUUAUAUCUUUACCUUGCAUUUUUGUCCGGAGGGCUUACGCUUUCAUCUGAUUAUGCUCUCUCUUGUGAGAUUCUCUCUAUGCUUAAAAUAGAAAAUACCACUAACCCCAGGACUGCUGAUAGGGCCGGAGUGCCUCCAAACAGCAGUCUUCUGCGUUCACUCUCCCUUACACCAACCCUGCAUCUUCUCUAUUUCUGCUACUACCACCAACUUAGUGCCAGCCAUAUGUAUUUAAGGGGUUGAGCUGGCUUCCUUGACUUGAUAAUCAAUGUGUGAUUAUUUUGUGGUUUUCCAUGUGGAUUUUAGUUUCUCCAGUUCCUGCUUCUAUUGCACACUAAAGAUUUCAUUUACUCGAAUGCUGCUUUUGUAUGCUUUCUUUAUGGAGCAUAAAAGAACCUAGAAUGAUUUUUGAGUGUGUCUAUACGCUUGUUAUAUGUAUUUGUUCAUGCUUUUCUGAAGCUACACACACCUGCACGUAUAUAUGUAUUUACAUUCCUGUAACUGUGUGUAACCAAAAUGAGAUGAUGAGCUGAUGAAGACCACCAGCAAAUAAUAUAAAAUAAUAUAGUAGUGCAACCUUAAUGCAGUGUUCAGAGUUGCACCUUGACUCCAGCCAGGACUGAUCAGACUCUGCUUAGUUCUGAAACAUCAGUCACUGUGUAUGACAGCCUCCCUCACCCCUUCUCUCCCUUUGCUCUUGUAAUGCAUCCUUGCAUGUAAGCCAGCUUGAGCAGCUGGAAGCUUGACUGCAACCUAACCCCAUUUUGAAUCAUGCCCAAGAUGCAACAGCCAGAUUUCUUACUGCACUAUUUUAAAGCAUAGAUGCAAGAGGCAUCGGCAUCUAUGUUUUGUGGCCCAGCAAAUGUCAUGGCAAGGCAAGUGGGAUGGAUGGCUCCUCCCCAGGUGCAGGGUUGCAAAUCCAGUUCACCCCUUCCCUACCCCUCAAGCCAUGUGGCAGGCUGUCUGGAAGCAUAGCAUUGUUCAUCACAUUAAUGUUCAGCUGUCGUGGAUGUGAAGAGGAAGUCAAGGGCUCACAGAACAGAAGAGAUGGACAGAGCAGACCUUUGAGGAGGAACAGCUUUGCAGCUUAGCAGUCAGCACACGACCUGGGGAAAGCCAACAAGGAGCUGGGAGCACUUCUUAGACACACAACAUUAAAAAGCUGUUACGUAAAACCCAGAAACCAUGCAGGGUCAAGAGGCAGGACCUGAAGUUUCUCUUGCCAGCCCUGUGCUCACCUUCAUCUUCCCUGCAUCAUCACUGAUAGCUCUCCUGUCUCUGUGCAGUAAGGUGCCCUUGCCAGGAUAUCUGUCAUUUUCAUCAGUUCCCAUCGCUCAGCUCUUCAAAACUUCCUACUAGUGUCAUUUAGGCUCUCUCCUUCUCAUUGGCUCCUUCUAGCUGCUAACAUAUACCAGCAAUUUUCACAGUCGCCUGCUUUCCAUCUGUUACAGUUUCACUGAUGUUUUUUUGUCUGACUUCCUCUAUGAUCUCAGCUUGCUUUUGUUGAAGUUAUACACUUUUCCAUCCUUGCUGUGAGUUUUUGGAUUUUUAGGCAUCAAAUAAAAAAUCUCUAAACAGUUCUUAACCACAUUUCACCCUAUUUCAGUUACAUCUCACAGAUGAUUCAAUUCAUAACAGCUUUCGGUUUGGUGACUUCAGAGGUACACAGAUAAUUGAUUGGGAUUUUUUCCUCAUGGUAUAUAAUGAAUGUAAUCCAGUCACGCUCUCUUGCACCUUAAGUAUUUCCUAACUUCCAGGCACGUGGUCAGUCCUUAAGCAGUAGUGCUCCCAGCUCUGCCAGCAACACUUUAAAAUGCCCUUUAUAAUUUCAAACAGUUCUGAUGCUGGAGUAUCCCAGCACAAGCCCUCCUGCACCUGCCAGACCCUUGCCAGCCCACCUGAAAGCUCCCCUCCCAGAGCAACAGGAAAGGAGCUCCAUUUCCACUUGGUUGUGCAGUUUCCCUGUCCUCAGCCAAGGGGAUCCUUCACCAUGUGUGCUGACCCUCUGGGCUGUGAACCUGCUUCAGUGUUGUCUCCCUCUAAGUGGGCCACGGAACUUUGAUUCUAGCAUUUGCUGCCCUCUUGUUUUUACGCUUUCCAAAUCAUCGUUACUGCUUUGCACAUACAAGUUAUAUGAAGCUUUUGGGUUUCAGUGGCAGAAAGGCCAAGUAUAUGUUCAUAACCGAACAGUUCCAGUUCUUUGGCAAUUUAGAACACCUCUUUCAGUCCCUUGGUGUCCUGACCUCACAUGGAGCUGAUUCAAAUUUUUAAUUCAUCCCGUGGCUAAAAGCUUCUUGUCCUCAGUGGCAGAAUGGUUAGAAGGCAUUUCAAGAUUGCCUGAAGACAACCGCAUUCAGGACUACUCUUUGGCAGGGAACAUCUCAAGUCAUGCAUCCCUCACGGCCCUGUCUCCAGAGUUCACGCUUGGUAUGCCUACACUUGAGAGAGGAGCUGCAGGCCCUCAGGGUUUUCUUUCAUCACUAAGGACAAAGGCAAGAGAUGCCAAGCAGCAUCAGAAGAGCCAAUCACAGUGCUAUGAACAAAAGGUCCCCUAAUGCCUUGGAUAAGACCAGCAAUUUCACAGUCUGCAGAAGGGAACGACUGAGGAAAUUCUGUGGAAUUCAGUAGAAAUCCUGAACAUUUUUCAUUACGAUAAUAAAAGAAACGAAGCGUUAAGUGGGAAGGAAAGGUGCUGAAGGCUACAAGAAAAGCAUUGCCUGCUUUACCAGUAACAGUGGUUCUGAGCAGUAGGCCUAGGUGCCUAGAGAAAAAGGAGCGUGGGCUUCGCUGAGAGGCCUACAAUGGCACCGAGGAGCCUUCAGAGAUGAAUGGCAGCUGAUUUCCCACAGAUCGAUGAUUUCCUGAGACAGAUUUCAUUCUGAAGCAGCGAACACAAAAUUUACAUAGCCAGAGUAUUUUUUACUGAAGUGAAAAUUGAAACAGCUAAACUGUGUUUAUGCAUGUGUAUGCAUAUGUAUCAACUUUCCUUCCUCACUUGACAUGAUUGCAAAAGAAAUUUCCAUCCUGACUUUUCACACCCACAUGGGUACAGGAAGAAGAAAUUUAAAGGUUGCUUGAAUUUAUGUAUCCACUGUGAAAUUCCUGAGUACUGAAAAGUACAUGUUGGUGAGGAGAUAUGAGUGCUGUGUAAUUUACUGUGUGAGUGCUUCCAAGUGAAAUGUUACUGUACAUCACAUCGCACUUCUUACUGAGUGGGAGUUCACCUUGCUUAUCUUUGGCCAAAGUUUUGCAGUGACAUUCGCUGUGCAAAACCUACCCUUUACCUUAGCUAAGUGGUGCUAUAGAAGCAAUAGUUAGCAGCUGGAAACACCUAAACAGCAUGGAGCAAUUUCCUGUGUUUAACAGACAAGAAUGUAAUUUUACCUAUAUAGUUAUUUGUUUCAAUUUUAAGUUAUUCAUUGGAAUCAAAUCAUGAGAAUAGAGUACUUCCAGUAAUUUCCUCAAUUAGGAAAUGAAACGUGAAAUUCUUAAAACCAGUUUUACAAUAAGUAGUGGAGGAGAUGCUCAAAAAACCUCUGACUGAGACUUAUUCAAUGCCAGAGAUACUCAGAAUGGGCUUUAAACCAUAAAAUUCACACGUUAACUUGAAUUUCAUUUCUGACUGGUUGGCAUGACUGGCUUAUCACCAUGUCUGUGUGUUUGCAUGUCUAAGUGUAAAUAAGUGCAUUUUCCUUGCCUUAUAAAGACAAUGUCAUAGAUUUGACUUUUCUGCCUUGGGCAGCAAGCCCCACAGAUGAUUAUAUGGGGAUAAAACAUAUGUCAAAGAAAAUGUUUCUUAGCUCUCUUGAAUGCAGUGCCAAUUAUGUCAGGCUAGCUCUUACUGCUUUAAAUUAAAACCAUACUUCAUCUCAGAAUUAAUUUAAUUUUCUGGAAUAAAUGCGCUUAAAAAAUCCAACUUGGAUUCUCCAAAGGAUAAGGGUCAGCUAUUCAGGGCAUCUGAAGAAUAGCAUAAGAGUCAUAUUCAGGCAGCCUAAAUUCAACCCGAAUCACUGUGCUCAGGAUUUCUUAUCAACCUGCUGUAAGUCUGUAGAGCACAGGGACUAUUCGACUCCUGGACCGAGAUGGAAUUUAAAUCCUGGAUAUUCAGCAAACCAUUUCCUAAUUCUUUAUGUUACUGAAGGAAGUGACCCUAGCAAGACUUGAUAGGCAUUAAAGGGUGGCCUAUUUAAACAAAGGGCAGCCCUCAGUUGUCAGUGAUUUUCACUAGUCUUAAAAGAGGAAAACAAUCCUUAUAUCUAUUGAAAAUCUACUUCUGGAUCUGCCCCCUAAAACAGUAUUAUCAGAAAGAUGUAUUUCCCUUGCUUUUGUAAUGCAAAGGAAUCAUAGACAUCUUUGCUUUAAGAGGCAAGAAAGGUAACUAAUUCUAUACUGUCAAAAAUUUUAUCUUUUGAAAAGUAGGGUGAUGAAUCAUAGCCAAAAAAAAGCCCCGUGGCCCCGGCUCCAAAAACCAAACAAUCCAGCAAAAAUAAAGAACAAACCAAAUCCUAUUGGUUUGUCAUCCAUCUGUGUUUCAAACAAUCAGAAACAACAGCAUCACGUAUCUUCUGGUCUAUACCUCCCUGGCCAUUCUAAUUAAUACUGGCUCAAGGCAGUAUUUAUUUCUUAGCUCGUGAGAUAAUAGGUUAUUGACUGACCUGUGAGGUAAUAGCCAAUUCUGUGUCUCACGUAGGAAGUGAUUGUGUGGAUUGAAGUUUGCCAUUGAUUUUGCUUCCAUACACUCAGGGGGACCAUCUAUAUAACUGUCACAUAAAUAAGAAGAAAAGGCCCUUAGUGACAUUUACUGACUUCUGAAGAUUCCUCACCUGCAUCCACUUGACAUUACUGUGGCCAGACCAAAAACCCACUGAACUCACCACUAACUUCAGUGCAGUUCACCAGACCUUCCUUAUAUGAAGCAGGGAAAUAGGAAGAGCUGACAACCUGAAGUCAUGGACUGGUGCAACAAUAAUGUAGAUUCUACAUCUUCUUCAUCCUGUGCUAUUUGCCAUCUCCUAACUGCACGGAUUCUGAGGACCCAUGAGAAGCAUGAAAUAUCUGUAGUGGUAUCUUAAAGGACUGAAAAAAAGCAGAGAGAGAUUAAAAUCAGAUACCAGUGGAGCUUUAAGUGCAAUGAAUUGAAAGGAAAUAAGGAAAGGUGAGCAUACGAUCACAAACACAGAACUUGGUACAAUUUAGGAGCUCCAUUCUACUGAAAGCUUCAGGAGUAGACAAACUGGUGUCACUGCAGAAUAUUUGGUAAAAAAGUACUUGUUUCAUCUGUAUCGUUUUGGUUAUUCAAAAUCAUAAACAGUGCCUUGGAGAGCAGAACGAGGAUAAAUAGAAAAGUUUCAGCUUUUCUGAAACACGUAUUUCUGUAAUGUGCUUCAGAAAGAAGGAGGUUUCAGUGAGUCAGUGUGCUGCUGCAAGAGUUGGAGUUCCUCUGGUAAAUUUUUGUCACGGUGGUAAUUGCAGAAAUAAGCAGUUCCUCCACCACUCACCCAUUUAUACCUCUCUCAAUAUUAAAUUAACUAACUCCCUUUUGGGAGCCAUUUGGAGAAUGAUCAGCAAAAACCAAACGCAGAAAAUUACUGAAAUCUCUGUUGCAUUCUUCUGUUGGUAUUACUGGGAAAUAUCAUCCGUUUCUUCUGGCCAGUGAUUUUCCCAGAUGCACAGAUCAUUUGCUGGCUGCCCUGCUUAGACCCAUGUCCUGUCUAAAGCCAAAGCUUACAAAGGCUCUUUGAAAAGUCUUUUUGAGACGGUGUGCUGGCUAAUUAAACAUUUAUUAAACAUCAUAGUAGCUUGAGAAUUAAUUUCACCUUCCUGUUUCUCAAGCCUCAGCUCUUUUCUAAGCUUUGACUGUACCCCUGACUUCAGCUGCUUGCCUGGCUUGGUUAGGAUUUCCCAGUUUGCUUGUACACCUGUGUGUCAUUUGCAGGGAAGAUGCUGCUCAUUAAGAUACACGAUGGGGAUCUUAAAAGGCAUUCAUUUAUUUGACAAAAAGGCAUAUUGGAACAGUACUACUAGGUGGCACGUGCACCUUGUUUUUAUUAAGUCACGUAGUAGGGAAAAAAUUAAUAUAAAAUCCAAGGAGAACAUUGAAAGCUAAUUUGCCUUAAGGUACAGAAGCUUCUGAAAAACUGCUAUUUUUUAUUCAAAUAUUACAGGGACAUAGCAUUUUUAUUCUCUCAUUUAUGUCAUUUAGGAUAGCUAAUGAUAUAUUAUUACACGACCCAAAGCCAGCGUUGCGUUCUCUUCCUUGUAUCUGGUACUGCUUUUCCAACUACUUUGUUCCACCCAAACCAUUUCAGAUACAGUCUCAAUUACAGAAAAUAAUAGGAUUCCUGAGGAGGUGUAAAUGCAUACCGUGGCAUGGCUGUCCUGCACUGAAAUAGCUGAAGAGCCUUUCUGCAUUUCCACAACAUGGGCUGAGGGUGCUCACGUGCCUUCCAUAGAACAAUCUUCAAGGAUUUUGUGCGACAUCAACGUGCUAAAUACUAUCUGCCUGAACUGGGGAGGAUGUCUCACAGUUUAAUUGAGCACAUUCAUUACAAUUGCCAAGGAAGGACCAAUAUCUGCUUUCUUUUCCUGUGAAUUCAAUACAGACCCAACAGCAACUGUAAGAUCAAAUCCCAAGGCCAGGUAUGGGGCAUUUGUUAUAUGAUAUUGAAUUUUUCAGCCAAGGCUUGAGCAGGUCAUGCUAAUUAAUGAAGAAUUUUCAGAUGGAUGCCCAUGAUUUCAAUGAAGCCAAUGCUUUUGGGAAAAAAUAGUCUGCAACGUCAAAAGAAAUUGGUUCUAUUUUGUCAGAAUAAAUAAUUUAAAUGAAGUACACAGUAUUUGUAACUUGACUGGUAUCCUGUCUAUU